CCGCUCUGCAACAGCAAAGACAGCCAGGGGACUCGAGCGCUGAGCUCGCUCGCAGGCCUUUCUGCGAAUGCAUCAAAGCCUUUGUUGUUUGUGUUACCUUUUCAAUGAACCAGGCUUCAGCGUCCUUCCGAUUCUGCUCAGCGAUGGUUUCAUACUGCGCCCGCAUAUCGUUGAGGAGCCUGGAACUUAAGACAUAUUAAUGGGUCCCUGAAAUUACCUCAGACGCUGGGAGCAUUGCCUGCUGUUCCUAAUGGGUAUGGUAUCUGAAGACAGUUGCUGCUGCCACACUGAUGAUUCUGGCUCCCGUGGACCUCUGCAACUUAUUUUCUAAUUCAUGAGCUCUCAAUUAGAAUUUCCAAAAGGCUGUUAUGCCUUCAAUUAUAUAUUAAUGAUGAAAAUUAAUAUCAGCAUAAUCUAUCAUUUGGAGAAUUAUCUUCUAACUCAGUCCUAUCACAUGAUCUCAAGGCUGUACUUGAUAUUUUGGGCGUGUGUCUACUUUUUGGUAUAUUUUCGUUUUGUUGGUGGUGGUGAGGCGUGUGAGUAUAAUUACUUCUGUCUUAGGGAUUGCAUUGGUGCUGGGUAAUGAGUGACAGGGACAUUAAAAUAGAAGUGCAUACAGACAUUGACACCUAUUCCUUGAUUCUAAGAG